AGUUGCUCUCAAUUACCAAACGGAUUCCGAGUCAAUGCAUUUAAACCAAGGAAAGUUUAGAACCAAUGGACGAGCUGGCUACAUAUUGAAACCACAAAUCAUGCGAGAUCCUGAAAAGAAUUUUAAUCCCAACACCAAAACGGAAAUUCCCGGAGUGGAGAAGGUGACUGUAUCAAUCAAGGUGAUUUCUGCCCAACAGCUUCCAAAGCCUGCUGAUACCAAAGGCGAAACUCGCACAAAAGGCGAG